CGAGCUGUGGAUCGGCGGCCCCAGCGUGGCCCGCGGCUACGCCGGGCGCGACGACCUGACCGCCGAACGGUUCGUGCCCGACCCGUUCGACC
rnacentral:tRNA from 1 species